CAAUAAUGAUGGAUGAAGACACUUAACUUGGAAGAUGUUCCAAUCUGGACGAUACUCCAAAACACUUCGCCUCUGAUCCAUGUGUUUGGAGUGCAGGCAAAGAUGAAACAAAUAGAAGCUUACGGGUAUAGGGCAUGGGCCCGUUAAGAGCCCAAUAAAUACAGAGAUCCAUUAACAAGGAACGGUCCUGAUGAGAAGCUGUUUCCAUCCGACGUACCGCGACGAGCGAUCGCUGCGGAGCAUCGUGUGACGAGGUUACUCGGUUCAUCGGUUGGCUGUUGAGCGUCGGAGCACUAUAAAUAACUGCUUAACGGACACAUGAUGCGGUUACUCUGAGAGGGACGGGUCGAGAGAGAGAGGGAGAGAGCUCUCCAGCGUUUGCGAGGGUGGUGUCGUCCUCAGGUUCUUUCUUCGUUCUUUCGCUUGCUUCAGACUCUUGCUUGGACGAUUGGUUUGCGAUUUGGAUUCAUCCGUCUCAUCUGCCGCUUGAUCGCGAGAUGUAUCGACGAGGUUUAACAUGCGAAACCAUACAUACAAUGGGUAAAUACUCGGAUCGCUUUCCUCUUUGCUCUCGAUGCAGAGGCCGGCCACUUCGCUCUAUAACAUCACGGCUCAUCUUCCGGUGGUCGAAUCGAUUGGGUUCUCACUGCUCUGAGCCAGGCGUUCACCCAGUGUGUCUUUGACCGCUGGGUCCUGAUGUCUUCCGAUCUAUCGGAUGAGGCUCGUGAUCGACAUCCGUAAGAGGAAGGGCUUGAAGAAGCAGAUUACCUCCCUCCCCAAAUACCAAAACCAGCUCUAAAUAUCCCAAAAUGCUUCUGGUGCAGGUCUUCAACCACAUACAUUUACUACACGAAGACCUUUUUGGCUGAAUCGGGAUUAUCCAGUGAAACCAAUUUGAAGGUCACCGAUCCCUAAUUUAUUCAAUAGUUUGUGGGACAAUAUGGAGAAGAAACAUAACAGAAUAAAAAGGCUAACCGCAAUGCCACUCCGCAGAAGAGCAAAAAAAUUGGCAGGACAAACCGGCAGCAUCAUCCACAAGCCCGCUUCUGGUCCUGCUUUUAUACAUUCACGACGACACCACCGAAGUGUUAACCUAAACAUUCUUUUUUUCGACAACAGAGAAAAGGGUAAGCAGAAACCGCAGGUUUCCUUAUUUUAUUUUGUAUUGGAAUCCUCUUAGGACUGUUCAAGGUACCGAGAGUGAGAGGCUGCAAGAAGAGACGCGCCAAGGCCUGAUCCAUCGUUAGUGAGGUUGACGACAACAGACGAAGAGGCCUCAUCUCCAAGCAUUUCAUUCAGGGCGCCGUGCAAGCAUUCUCUGAAUACAGUGUAAUGCUCGUAAAGCCCACCGUCCAUAGCGAUCACUGUCCUUCGCAUGCCACUGCCAUCCCGUCCCAGCUUCUUCAGAAUCCCAACUAUGCCUGCGGCAGCAAGCCGAGCCCCACGCUUGGCAACGACAUCACAGAUCUGGACAACCACUUUUCUCGCUUUCAAGGAGGUGCUAGAAAUCUGGAGUUCAGGCAAAAACAAAGACAGUAAAAAAAAAAAUUGGCUGCGGAACAUGAGAUUUAGGGAAAAUGUAAAGGAUUGUACCCCCAAGAAUUCCUUCAGUUUGGCCCCGACAACUUUGAGAUCAGCUGAAGUAUCAUGAUGCAUAGCAGACAUGACUGGUGUCCUACAAACCAUAAAUUGCGUACUUGUUCAGAUAACAAACCGAAAGGGUGAGUCAACUGAUCCAUUAAAUAAGGACCCAAAAGUAAAAAACAAAGCAAAAGUCAGCAGGAGAUUGGUUAUCACAAAUUUGAUCAACAGGAGCGGUGCCGAUUGUCUAGUCAUAACACAAUUACGAAAAAGUUGAAAACUCGGUUGCAACUUAUGCUUGAAUCCUGUCUACACAGUACCCACGCAAUCAUAAAGUUGACUCUUUUUUUUUAACAUCAGCUUGCGUACUUAAGAAACAAAUAUGACAGGAUCAAGCAGGAAACCUGCAACAAUGUCCUAAAAAGAAUGAUACCAUAACGUUAUUAUAUUUAUU